rnacentral:rRNA from 1 species
GACGAACGCUGGCGGCGUGCUUAACACAUGCAAGUCGAACGGAAAGGCCCUGCUUUUGUGGGGUGCUCGAGUGGCGAACGGGUGAGUAACACGUGAGUAACCUGCCCUUGACUUUGGGAUAACUUCAGGAAACUGGGGCUAAUACCGGAUAGGAGCUCCUGCUGCAUGGUGGGGGUUGGAAAGUUUCGGCGGUUGGGGAUGGACUCGCGGCUUAUCAGCUUGUUGGUGGGGUAGUGGCUUACCAAGGCUUUGACGGGUAGCCGGCCUGAGAAGGUGGCCAGCCACAUUGGGACUGAGAUACGGCCCAGACUCCUACGGGAGGCAGCAGUGGGGACUAUUGCACAAUGGGCGGAAGCCUAAUGCAGCAACGCCGCGUGCGGGAUGACGGCCUUCGGGUUAUAAACCGCUUUCGCCUGUGACGAAGCGGGAGUGACGGUAAUGGGUAAAGAAGCACCGGCUAACUACGUG